rnacentral:tRNA from 1 species
CGGCUUAUAGUUCAAAGGAAGAACAGUACGCUACGAACGUACAGAUAGAAGUUCGAAUCUUCUUAAGCCGU